GUGGGGAAUCUUGCGCAAUGGGCGAAAGCCUGACGCAGCCAUGCCGCGUGAAUGAUGAAGGUCUUAGGAUUGUAAAGUUCUUUAGCCUGUGACGAUGAUGACGGUAACAGGAGAAUAAGCCCCGGCUAACUUCGUGCCAGCAGCCGCGGUAAUACGAAGGGGGCUAGCGUUGUUCGGAAUUACUGGGCGUAAAGCGCGCGUAGGCGGUUUUACAAGCCAGAGGUGAAAUGCCUGAGCUUAACUUGGGAAUUGCCUUUGGAACUGUAUGGCUUUGAGGACGAGAGAGGUGAGUGGAAUUCCCAGUGUAGAGGUGAAAUUCGUAGAUAUUGGGAAGAACACCGGUGGCGAAGGCGGCUCACUGGCUCGUUUCUGACGCUGUAGCGCGAAAGCGUGGGGAUCAAACAGGAUUAGAAACCCCAGUAGUCC
rnacentral:rRNA from 1 species